rnacentral:rRNA from 1 species
CCUACGGGAGGCAGCAGUAAGGAAUAUUGGUCAAUGGACGGAAGUCUGAACCAGCCAUGCCGCGUGCAGGAAGACGGCCCUACGGGUUGUAAACUGCUUUUGCAGGGGAAUAAACCUCAUUACGUGUAAUGAGCUGAAUGUACUCUGAGAAUAAGGAUCGGCUAACUCCGUGCCAGCAGCCGCGGUAAUACGGAGGAUCCAAGCGUUAUCCGGAUUUAUUGGGUUUAAAGGGUGCGUAGGUGGCCUGUUAAGUCAGGGGUGAAAGACGGUAGCUUAACUAUCGCAGUGCCCUUGAUACUGAUGGGCUUGAAUGAACUAGAGGUAGGCGGAAUGUGACAAGUAGCGGUGAAAUGCAUAGAUAUGUCACAGAACACCAAUUGCGAAGGCAGCUUACUAUGGUUUUAUUGACACUGAGGCACGAAAGCGUGGGGAUCAAACAGGAUUAGAUACCCUGGUAGUCCACGCCCUAAACGAUGAAUACUCGAUGUUGGCGAUAUACGGUCAGCGUCUAAGCGAAAGCGUUAAGUAUUCCACCUGGGAGUACGCCCGCAAGGGUGAAACGUUAAAGNGAAGUUGACGGCGUGAGAGUCGACGACGGACGACCGACGGAGGGAGGAGG